rnacentral:tRNA from 1 species
GGGCCUGUAGUUCAGGUGGUUAGAACGCACUGCUCAUAACUGUGAUGUCGUAGGUUCGAGUCCUUCCAGGCCCA